GGAGGGGUGGCAGAGUGGUCGAUCGCGCCGGUCUUGAAAACCGGAGAGCCGCAAGGUUCCGUGGGUUCGAAUCCCACCCCCUCCGCCA
rnacentral:tRNA from 1 species